rnacentral:rRNA from 1 species
UGGUUCCUACGGGGCGCAGCAGUGGGGAAUAUUGGGCAAUGGGCGCAAGCCUGACCCAGCAACGCCGCGUGAAGGAAGAAGGCUUUCGGGUUGUAAACUUCUUUUCUGAGGGACGAAGCAAGUGACGGUACCUUAGGAAUAAGCCACGGCUAACUACGUGCCAGCAGCCGCGGUAAUACGUAGGUGGCAAGCGUUAUCCGGAUUUACUGGGUGUAACGGGCGUGUAGGCGGGAAA